ACGAACGCUGGCGGCGUGCCUAAUGCAUGCAAGUCGCACGCACCGUGCUUGCACGGUGAGUGGCGCACGGCUGAGUAGCACGUGGAUUACCUGCCCCCACGGUGGGGGAUAACGCCGCGAAAGCGGCGCUAAUCCCGCAUACGCUCGCAAGAGGAAAGCGGCAACGCGCCGUGGGAGGGGUCUGCGGCCCAUCAGGUGGUUGGUGUGGUAACGGCGCACCAAGCCUGCGACGGGUAGCUGGUCUGUGAGGACAGACAGCCAGACUGGGACUGAGAAACGGCCCAGACUCCUACGGGAGGCAGCAGCAAGGGAUUUUCCGCAAUGGGCGCAAGCCUGACGGAGCAACGCCGCGUGCGGGAUGACGGCCUUCGGGUUGUAAACCGCUUUUGGGGGGGAUGAGAUGGACCGUACCCCCCGAAUCAGGCUCGGCUAACUCUGUGCCAGCAGCCCGCGGUAAGACAGAGGAGCCAAGCGUUGUCCGGACUGACUGGGCGUAAAGGGCACGCAGGCGGUGCGACAAGUGGUGUGUGAAAGCGCUCGGCUUAACCGAGCGAGGCCAGGCCAAACUGUCGGACUGGAGCCAUGCAGAGGGUGGUGGAAUUGCCGGUGUAGUGGUGAAUGCGUAGAGAUCGGCAGGAACACCAAGGGAGAAAUCAGCGCACCAUGGGCAUGUGCUGACGCUGAGGUGCGAAAGCGUGGGGAGCGAACUGGAUUAGAUACCCAGGUAGUCCACGCCAUAACGAUGGACGCUCGGCAUCUGCGCGCUAUCAACGCGCGGGGGUGCCUCAGCUAACGCGCAAGCGUCCCGCCUGGGAACUACGAGCGCAAGCUUAAACUCAAAGGAAUUGACGGGGGCCCGCACAAGCAGCGGAGCGUGUGGUUUAAUUCGACGCAACGCGCAGAACCUUACCCAGAUUUGACAUGUGACUGCAAGCCGCUGAAAGGCGGUCGCCUUUGAGGGUGUCACACAGAAUGCUGCAUGGCUGUCGUCAGCUCGUGUCGUGAGAUGUUGGGUUAAGUCCCGCAACGAGCGCAACCCCUACGGUCAGUUACAGGUGUCUGGCCGGACUGCCGAUUAUCGGAGGAAGGCGGGGAUGACGUCAAGUCCGCAUGGCUCUUACGUCUGGGGCGACACACACGCUACAAUGGUGCGGACAGCGCGCAGCGACCGCGCGAGCGGGAGCGAAUCGGCAAACCGCACCCCAGUGCAGAUUGGGGGCUGCAACUCGCCCCCAUGAAGGCGGAGUUGCUAGUAACCGCGUAUCAGCCAUGGCGCGGUGAAUACGUACCCGGGCCUUGUACACACCGCCCGUCACGUCAUGGAGUCGGGAACGCCUGAAGUCCGUGGGCUGACCCUCCGAUGAGGAGGGGGGCAGCGGCCGAGGGCGGGUCCGGUGACUGGGACG
rnacentral:rRNA from 1 species